GCUUGAUGACAGGCCAAGCUUGUUGCAGGUCUUGUAUGAACCUGGAAGUCAAGAAGGAUCAGGACUGGUUAGUAUUUGGAUUGAAAACUACCUGGAAAUACUAGGCACUAUAGGCU
rnacentral:rRNA from 1 species